rnacentral:rRNA from 1 species
GCGCAACCCUUACGUCCUUAGUUACCUAGCACGUUAUGUGGGCGACUCUAAGAGAACUGCCGGUGACAACCGGAGGAAGGUGGGGAUGACGUCAAGUCAUCAUGGCCCUUACGGCCUGGGCUACACACGUGCUACAAUGGUCGGUACAAAGGGUUGCCAAGCCGCGAGGUGGAGCUAAUCCCAUAAAACCGAUCGUAGUCCGGAUCGCAGUCUGCAACUCGACUGCGUGAAGUCGGAAUCGCUAGUAAUCGUGAAUCAGAAUGUCACGGUGAAUACGUUCCCGGGCCUU